CGGCCUGGGUGACAGAGUGAGUGGGUCUCUGUCUCAAAACCAAACCAAACCAAACAAAAUGAACAAAACUUGUAUAUACAUCAAGAAGUGUAUCCUUCAGACACAAGCUUUUGUUUUUUUUAGUGAUUUGUUAGAUGGAAUUCUUUUAAACUUCAAUUUUUUUUUAACAGGGUGAUAUAUAAUGCAUGCAUCUUUGAGACAGGUUUUUUUUAUUUCAUUUUUAAGCAGACUGACAGCAACUGGUUCUUUAAUAUGAAUGCAUUGUUUUGUUAACCCUGUUAUGUGGAGUGGUCAAUCCUUACUGUGUGCAUGAGUGAGACUGACAUGGGAAGUGUGCAGUAGACAGAGCAGUGGGAGGCAGGGCUGGCUCGGGGGGUGCUAGUCACCAUGUCACAGGAAGGUAUGUCUGGGCCUAGAUGCCAGGAGGCUCUCAGGGCUUGUUUCUCAAGCACCAGGGAGUGAUCAGAGCCACUUGGCUCUGCCUAGUGCCCUCUGCUUAGGGCUCAUAGUUGUGACGUGCCCAUCCCCUGGGAUCACACGGUCCCACUGCUGCCCAUGACCCUGACAUACUCGGGCAGAAGGGCCCAGGGUGGGAUCAGAAAGCUGGGGGGUCUGAUUUGCAUGGAUAGACCCUCCCUCUCUCUGAGUAUGAAGAGAGGAAGGGAGAGAUUUGGGGGAAGCUCUGCUUCAGCAGUGGGCACAGAAGGCAGGACUUGGACAGGAUGCAGCAUGGUGUGGUCCCUUCUCCUUGCCCUCCCUAUUUACUGCACAGGUAACUGGACACAGGGCCAGGGGAGGGGCUCUGAGGAAGCCCAUGGGGCUCUGGUUCUUUGCUUGUCUCUAGAUCUAGAGUCACCAUGUCUGUUUCUCUCCCACUUGCAGGGUCCUGAGCUCAGUCUAUGCUGACUCAGCUGCCCUCAGUGUCUGGGGGCCCAGGGCAGAGGGUCACCAUCUUCUGCACUGGAAGCAGCAACAAUGUCACAGAUACUUAUCCUGUGAACUGGUACCAGCAUCUCCCAGGGGUGUGCUUAGACUGCUCAUCCUUGGUGAUAGUGAUUGACCCUUAGGAGUCCCUGACUGAUUUCUCUGGCUCCAAGUCUGGCAACUUAGCCUCCCUGACCAUCACUGGGCUCUGGCCUGAGGAUGAGGCUGAUUAUCAUUGCCAGUCUUAGGAUAGCAGCCUAGAUGCUUACACAGUGCUCCAGGCCGGUGAGAAAGUGAGACAAAAACAUGCUGUGUGCCCAGCAAUGAGGCUUUCCCCAGCACCCAAUACUCCUCAGCCAAGUCAGCUGGUUCCUUCUUUGUAUUUUUCUUUUUGGCCUAAAGCUGGAGUCUGAAAACCUCUUCAGUGUAAUUUGUUUAGGGGAUGUACCUCACACCUAGAUAACGUGUGCCCCAAGCCCACACUUUGGCAACCACGUCUUGUGUAAUUUUAUCAAAUGUAGCAGAUCUUCCUGGAUCCCAGGGGCCAGCUGCUCUGGGACAAUCCAUGAGGGGUGAGUCAGUCAACUGGGGCAUCCACAGCAACAUACCACAGACUGGGGUCUUCACCAGCAGAUACUCAUUUUCUCACAGUUCUGGCAUCUGAAAAGAUCUCAUCAAGGUAUCAGCAGGUUUUGUGUGUGUGUGUGUGUGUGUGUGUGUGUGUGUGUGUAUUUGUUCCUGGCCCCUCUUUUAUUCGCAGGUGGCCAUCUACUGACACUGUCCUCACAUGGUCAUCACCAGGUCUGUGUAUUGUUUUUGUAUAAAUUUAUUAUGAAGACACCAGUAGUCCUGGAGUAGGGACCCAUUCUUAUAACUUCAUGCAAUUUUAUUAUCUCCUUAAUGACUCAAUCUCCGAAUUUAGACAGAUUGGCUGUUCAUUUGUAAACAUUGAAAAUUGGAGUAGACAUCAUUUGAUUCAUAACAAGAGAUUUAGGGGGACCAGGGGCCCAGGUCCAGCUGUGUUUUACCGGGGAGAAUUGGUGAUGCAGAGACCAUCUGUCCACUCCAUUGACCUGAGCACCUGCUGUGUGCCAGGCUCUGGAAAGUGGGAAUAAGAAAUGCCCCAGGAACAUGAAGAAAGGUGAGUUUGCAGGAGUGGGGAUACCAUACAGAGGGAUUAAUGAGAAACAUGCAGAGUCUGACUAAGGUUGUAAAUCCACCUGCAGCAUAUGCGAUGGACGAGGAGAAGGGGAGCGUCCAGGCAGUACCAGAUGGGGCUCUAGUUUUGACACAAAUGUCAGACUGUGGAGUCCUGGAUGACGGUGCAGCAGGCAAGCUGGAGAAGAGAGGCCAUAACCACAUGGUUCAGGGGUCAGGGAGCUGAGAAAAGAGGUGCAGGAAGAGAGAGAUCUGGUCAGGCAUCUCUGGACUUGUGUGGGGGCUAAAGAUUAACAGAACCAGGCCAACUGCCUGCCUGGUGCUGUCUGCUCAAGGGUCACAGCUGUGACCUCCCCAUAUCUAGCACCCACAGCACCACCCCUGCCCAUCUCCCUGAUACUCAAAAGCAGAGGGGCCUGAUCCAAGGUCUAGUGUGGCAUCAGAAGGCUGAGGGCUCUCAUUCGCAAGGAUGGAGCCGCCUUCUCUGAUGGUAUGAGGAGAAGAAAGGAGAGAUUUGGGGGAAGCUCUGCUACAGCUGUGGACACAGAAAGCAGGACUUGGGACACUCUUCACCAUGGCCUGGUCCCCCUCCUCCUCACCCUCCUUGGACACUGCACAGGUGACUGGACAUGGGGCCAAGGAAGGGGACCUGGGAAUCCCAUGGGGCCCUGCUUUCUCCUCUUGUGUCUAGAACCAGAAUCAUACGUCUCUUCCACUUCCAGGGUCCUGUGCCCAGUCUGUACUGACUCAGCUGCCCUCAGUGCCUGGGGCUCAGGGUCAUAGGGUCACCGUCUCCUGCACUGGAAGCAACUCCAACAUGGAGGGUGGCUGUAAUGUGAACCAGUAUCAGUAACUCCCAGGUGCUGACCUCAGACUCCUCAUGGAUAGUGAUAGGAAUUGGCCUUUCAUGGUCCCUGACCAAUUCUCUGGCUCCAAGGCUGGCAACUCGGCCUCCCUGACCAUUACUGGGCUCUGAGUUGAGGAUGAGGCUGAUGAUCACUGCCAGUCCUUUGACAGCAAUGCAAGUACUUGCACAGUGCUUCAGGCCCAUGGGGAAGUGAGACAAGGAUCCCCUUCCUCCUUUGCCAGGAGGGCGAGCACCCAGCAGCCCCUGCUCAGGCCUGGAUGGAGGCUUCUGCUACUGCUGCUGCCCCCAUGGCCCCAGGUGCAUCUAAGGCCCCACUGGGGAGUGGGGCUGCUCCUCUCCUUCUGUCCUGAAAGUCAUGCGCAGCAGCUCCUUCCUAGGAAAAGGACUCCCAGGGAACAACAUCCUGCUUGCUACAGCUUGGUAUACAAGGCCUGUUUGCUCUGAAGUCCUGGGCUGAAGUGGCAGGUCUGGCUGUAUCAUCUCAGACCCACCUCUGACUGGGAACCUGCAUCUUCCUCCUCAUCCUCUUUCUGUUUCCAGGGGUUUCCAGAGCGGUGUCUUCCUCUCAUUGGUUCUCAGUGUGUAGUCCUGUUCUUUUUGUUUUAACCUAUUUUUACACAUCUUUUUAUUGAGGAGUAAUUGAUUUAUAGUAAACCCCUGAUAUUUACAUGCUUAAUUUUAUGUGUUUUGAAAUAUUAAUAUACCUUGAAAACUUACCGCAAUGUAUCAGUGACUCCAUCCUUAACCCCAAAACCUCCUUGUUACUUUUUGGAAUCUCCCCUCCCUCCCUCCCUACAGCUUCUCCCAGACAAUCACCCAUUCAUGCUCUGCCUGUGGUUUGAUUUUAAAUUCUUAAGAUUUGAAAAUGGAUUCCCACAGUAUGUUCCCCUUUGGUGUGGCUUCUCUCACUCUGCACACUCCUUCAGAGCCCUGGGCAACAAGAGCGAGACUCUGUCUCACCAAAAAAAAAAAAAAAA